CUAGGAUCAAAUGCAGACCUUGAUCCUGGCACUCCAGCUUAUCUGUAGCAAGCAGAGGAAGAGGUGCCAACCCGCCAACCAGACUGAGACCCCAACACCAAGGAAGGCCUGUCCAAGACCUCUGAGAGCCCUGGAUCAAGUUCACAGAAGCCACUACCUUAAAUCCCACAACCCUGCUGCCAGUCUCAGACCUAAUGACUCUGCUACAUGACUGCCAGGAGACCCUCCAGGACAUAACCAUGACCAGACCUGAUUUGCAGGAUGUUCUCCUAAAGGACCUUGAGAAGACAUUCUUCAUGGGUGGAAGCAGGUUCAUCAAACAAGGAGUCAGGCCCUCCAGGUAAUCCAACAGGAACUGUGGAAUCAAGUUUGGGAGGCCAGGCUGGCCCCUCGACCUGAUGUCACCUGCCAUAAAUUUCAGCCUGGAGAUCUGGUGCUGGUAAAGAGACAUUCAUCCAAGGCUCUAGACCCACAUUGGGAAGGGCCUUUCCAGGUGAUCUUGCCAACGCUAUCUGCCAUAAAGGUCAUGGGAAAGACACAGUGGAUACAUCACUGCCACAUCACAGCAGCUCCUGAGGAUACCCUGGAGGACAAAUGGAGGAUCAUCAGUCAACCAGGUGACAAAAAGCUAAGACUGGGACAGGUUGGAAAUAUAUUCCCUUCUUGCUAAUACUGAAAUGUGUGGGGGGACAAUGGCUGGGACAACCACCCCAGUGGGAGGAAUGGCAGCUCCGGAAAACUGACAUGGGACACAUAUAUAGACAGACAAAUUUGAGCCAGACAAAAAUGAUCUAAAGUUUAAAAUUGAUUCUUUAUGCCAACUGUUCUGUCCCUGCCUGAGUCCCUUAAGUACAGACUGCUCAAAUGUAAUGUGGCACUUGGUAAAUACUCUGGGCAAUCUGGCUGACUCAGUCCUUAAG
ensembl:lncRNA